GCUGCCCCAGGAUGGGCGGGUA
rnacentral:rRNA from 1 species